GUGCUCAUUUCGGCAGCACAUAUACUAAAAUUGGAACAACGCAGAGAAAAUUAGCAUGGCCCCUGCACAAAGGUGCCACACAAAUUUGUAAAGUGCUCCAUAUUUAA